CCGCAAUGGGCGAAAGCCUGACGGAGCAAGACCGCGUGGGGGAAGAAGGCUCUUGGGUUGUAAACUCCUUUUCUCUGGGAAGAACAAAAUGACGGUACCAGAGGAAUCAGCAUCGGCUAACUCCGUGCCAGCAGCCGCGGUAAGACGGAGGAUGCAAGCGUUAUCCGGAAUGAUUGGGCGUAAAGCGUCCGCAGGUGGCAGUUCAAGUCUGCUGUCAAAGACCGGGGCUUAACCUCGGAAAGGCAGUGGAAACUGAACAGCUAGAGUAUGGUAGGGGCAAAGGGAAUUCCUGGUGUAGCGGUGAAAUGCGUAGAGAUCAGGAAGAACAUCGGUGGCGAAGGCGCUUUGCUGGACCAUAACUGACACUCAGGGACGAAAGCUAGGGGAGCGAAUGGGAUUAGAUACCCCUGUA
rnacentral:rRNA from 1 species